AUGGCGCGGCCCGCAGGCGGCGGCGGGGCAGCGCCCGGGGCCGCUGAGCCGCAGCGGAGCGGCACGCCGAGGAGAGGCGGCCGGUGCCCCGCCGGCGCUGCUUUGGAGCCUGAGGUGAGUCUGCUGGGUCGCGGGGAGAAGUUGGGGCGCGGGGUUUGGGCCGGCGUGGGGAUGCCCCGGUGCUGGGGUGGGGAAGGAGUGCUGCGGGCCAGCGGCGGCCCCGCAAGGGCGGAGAUCCCGGGUGCCGACGCCGGCUCGCUCGGUGACCUUGGUCAAGUUGUGUCUCCGCUCCGGGCUCGCUUCGCAGCCUCCCCGGGUGAGCGAGCCCGGGUGCCGGGGAAGGCACCGAGUGCCGCCCGGCCGGGAAUCACCCCGAACCGGGGCCCGCAGGGGACGGGCGGCUGCGACCGGCCCGGUGGGAUAUCUGCUAUCUGCUGUCAGGAUACACGGGGUGCCCGGGAUGCUGGGACCCGCUGCUGUGUGCUGAGCGCGCUGCUCGGCGUGAAAUGCCGGUGUGAGACACCCCGCGCCCGCUGGGACCGGGGAGAUGCCCCCGCACAGCUUAAAACGCACAUUUCUCCCAUGGGCCCCGAUUAUUCAAUAGCCUGUGGGGGAAUCUCCCGUUCCCCGCACCGCAGGGCUCCGCUCCGCCACCCGGAGCACCGGAUCGAGCAGUGGGUGCGUGACCCGUGGGGAGAUGUCUGCUCACCUCGGGCGCUCACCCAGCACAGCUCCGGGAGCCCGGCGGUCCCCGCUCCCUUCCCUUCUCUGAGCACUCCUAUUUCCAGUGAGAAGCAAAACUCUGUGUCCUUAAAGCGCUGGAGAGCACCGGCUCUCGGCGCAGCGAUGCCCGGUCCCCUCCCCGGGGACCCGGUGCGGCUGUCCCGGAGCGGCGGUGGCGGUCCCGGGGUGCCGAGCCUGGCGCUGCGGGCCGGGUGGGACCGCCGGCAGAUGUCAGUGUCCCCUCUCGGCAGCCGCCAGGAGGGUCCCUGCCAGCCCCGGAGUCGCUGCGAUGAGGCCCCUGCACUUUUUUUCGAAGCGGAGCUGCCCUUGGUGGCCGUUCAGUGA
rnacentral:lncRNA from 1 species